GUGAGGAAUAUUGGUCAAUGGGCGAGAGCCUGAACCAGCCAAGUAGCGUGCAGGAUGACGGCCCUAUGGGUUGUAAACUGCUUUUACACGGGGAUAAAGUGUGCGACGUGUCGUUCAUUGCAGGUACCGUGCGAAUAAGGACCGGCUAAUUCCGUGCCAGCAGCCGCGGUAAUACGGCAGGUCCGGGCGUUAUCCGGAUUUAUUGGGUUUAAAGGGAGCGUAGGCCGUCUGUUAAGCGUGUUGUGAAAUGUAGAUGCUCAACAUCUGGAUUGCAGCGCGAACUGACCGAGUUGAGUGCGCAGGAAGUAGGCGGAAUUCGUGGUGUAGCGGUGAAAGGCUUAGAUAUCACGAAGAACUCCGAUUGCGAAGGCAGCUUACUGUAGCGCCACUGACGCUGAAGCUCGAAAGUGCGGGUAUCGAACAGGAUUAGAUACCCGAGUAGUCC
rnacentral:rRNA from 1 species